CCUCCAUUCCAUUUUCGAUUUAGGUGGAGUGGGAACUUAAAACUAGCUAGAACAUGCCUCACUGAAUUUCUGUAUGACUUAAUUUUUAUUUUGUUACUUAUUUAAUAAAAAUCUACUAUCUACUAUCUACUAUAUCUAUUAUACGAGAACACGUUGUUUUCCUGAGCAAAUUAAUUCCUUGGUUCGGUCCGACCCUACUUCCCGAACCUCCUAAUUAAACCCUACCCAUUCAUAUACAUAAUCUGCAGCUUCCUCAUAACCAUACUCUUACGGCUUCUCCCUGAUCCCCCAUCCCCGAUCCCCUUUCAGUCGCAAGUCCAUGCUCAUGCUCAUGUAAAUGAUAUAAUGAUAUAAGAUGAUUAUAUCACCACGGAUACUCUUCACUCUUUGCUGUCUCUUAGCAGAUUGGGGUUUUUUCGCUGCAAAUUAGGGGUUCUCCAGUUUUAAUUGUCUCAAUCUGUCAAUCGCCGGCCACCUCCGAUACGGACUACAAAGGUGCGCCUAAAAGGAGAGAGGAGCCAUAAAUAUGGAAAAUUUGUUUCAGUAUUUGAGUAUUUACAGCCUCACUCUGUUUGCCAUGUUGUCCGGCAGAUGCACCACGUUGUCCCCCUAUAUGUACAUGUCAUUUUUGUAAUUAAGAGAGUACAUGCUAGCACAUUUCAGGAUUAAAAGACUAUGCAUGUGUGGAUGAGGUUUUUUGGUUAAUAUUUUUGUUGAUUGAUUUACAUUUUGGUCCAACUUGAAACACAUUAUCGUGGAAUGGAAGGAUAUAUCUAAGUGGUGGUUAAGCUACAAAGAGCUAUUGUAAAGAUGAGGGGAGAAUCCAGCUUUGAAGUGAAAAAUAUGAUCUUCACAAAGUUCCACACAAUUACAAGAUGAUUUCUGUUCAGUUAUACUACUGUACCAACAGAAGUGGAAUGAUGAAUUACAAUAUGAGAAUCAUGAGCUUGAGGAGUCGUGCUAAGAGGAUGUUAAUAAAAGAAAGGUGGGUGGCGUUGUCUCCCUGGAGAAAUAUCAUGCUUGUCAAGCAUAGGCUUUUCUGUGUUUUCUCCUAAUAAAGUGACCUUAAUUUCUUUUGGUUGUACAAGAUUUUAUACAUGAACUAUGCAACUUCUUUUGCUCGAAUGGCAUCCUAGCUUCCUAUGGAGGUGUGCACUUCUUUUUGUU